rnacentral:tRNA from 1 species
GUCUCCUUAGUUCAACGGAUAGAAUAAGGGCCUCCUAAGCUCUAGAUACAGGUUCGAUUCCUGUAGGGGACACCA